rnacentral:rRNA from 1 species
AUUGAACGCUGGCGGCAGGCCUAACACAUGCAAGUCGAACGAGUGGCGGACGGGUGAGUAAUGUCUGGGAAACUGCCUGAUGGAGGGGGAUAACUACUGGACACGGUCGCUAAUACCGCAUACCAUCAGAUGUGCCCCGAUGGGAUUAGCUUGUUGGUGGGGUAACGGCUCACAAAGGCGACGAUCCCUAGCUGGUCUGAGAGGAGGACCCGCAAACAUGGAACGGAGACAAGGGCCAGAAGCCGAAGGGAGGCAGGAGUGGGAAUAGUGCACAAUGGGAGCAAGCCUGAUGCAGCAAUGCCGCGUGUAUGAAGAAGGCCUUCGGGUUGUAAAGUACUUUCAGCGGGGAGGCGUUACCCGCAGAAGAAGCACCGGCUAACUCCGUGCCAGCAGCCGCGGUAAUUC